UACAGAGGGGGCAAGCGUUGUUCGGAAUUACUGGGCGUAAAGGGCGCGUAGGCGGCCUUCUAAGUCGAACGUGAAAUCCCCGGGCUCAACCCGGGAACUGCGUCCGAGACUGGAAGGCUCGAAUCCGGGAGAGGGAUGUGGAAUUCCAGGUGUAGCGGUGAAAUGCGUAGAUAUCUGGAGGAACAUCGGUGGCGAAGGCGGCAUCCUGGACCAACACUGACACUGAGGAGCGAAAGCCAGGGGAGCAAACGGG
rnacentral:rRNA from 1 species